rnacentral:rRNA from 1 species
AUGCAAGUCGAGCGCCCCGCAAGGGGAGCGGCAGACGGGUGAGUAACGCGUGGGAAUCUACCCAUCCCUACGGAACAACUCCGGGAAACUGGAGCUAAUACCGUAUACGCCCUUCGGGGGAAAGAUUUAUCGGGGAUGAAUGAGCCCGCGUUGGAUUAGCUAGUUGGUGGGGUAAAGGCCUACCAAGGCGACGAUCCAUAGCUGGUCUGAGAGGAUGAUCAGCCACAUUGGGACUGAGACACGGCCCAAACUCCUACGGGAGGCAGCAGUGGGGAAUAUUGGACAAUGGGCGCAAGCCUGAUCCAGCCAUGCCGCGUGAGUGAUGAAGGUCUUAGGAUUGUAAAGCUCUUUCACCGGAGAAGAUAAUGACGGUAUCCGGAGAAGAAGCCCCGGCUAACUUCGUGCCAGCAGCCGCGGUAAUACGAAGGGGGCUAGCGUUGUUCGGAAUUACUGGGCGUAAAGCGCACGUAGGCGGAUAUUUAAGUCAGGGGUGAAAUCCCAGAGCUCAACUCUGGAACUGCCUUUGAUACUGGGUAUCUUGAGUAUGGAAGAGGUAAGUGGAAUUGCGAGUGUAGAGGUGAAAUUCGUAGAUAUUCGCAGGAACACCAGUGGCGAAGGCGGCUUACUGGUCCAUUACUGACGCUGAGGUGCGAAAGCGUGGGGAGCAAACAGGAUUAGAU